GACCAUUUUUUGUGUGCAAACUGGGUCGAGUUUAAGCCCGUUUUCAGUAAAAAUAUCUGCUAAAAGUGCUAGUGACUUUCUCAUUGAACUGCAUAAGUAUUUUCCUGUAAGUAUAAGUAUAAUACAGCUUGAGUUAUAACUUCAACACUUCAACUUCGAGAGGCGAUUACAAAAUGAUGGUCAACCUUAAUCAUGCCUUUCAGCCUGCCCCCCUCAGCCCCAAAUACCCUGGAUCUGAUUACGAUUUAGCUUGGUUCCCAACCAGUGCGGACCCACGUUCAAUUCCUUUCCGCAAUAACGAGCCAACGAAUUAAUUCCAUUUAAUUAUGCCCAUUGUGUUACAUCAGAGAUUCGUGCGCCCAUUAAGGUAAUGUUCUAUUAAAACUA